rnacentral:misc_RNA from 1 species
UGGUUCUGGCAUCGAUGAAGAACGCAGCGAAAUGCGAUAAGUAAUGCGAAUUGCAGAAUUCCGUGAGUCAUCGAAUCUUUGAACGCACAUUGCGCCCUUUGGUAUUCCGAAGGGCAUGCCUGUUCGAGCGUCAUUAUCAACCCUCAAGUUCAACUUGUUGUUGAGAUUUGGUGAUAUUUCAUCGUCUCAAAAGAUAAUGACGGCGUUUUUGAAACCCUCGAUACAACGAGCUUUUACUAGCACGUAUCGUAGUAUGGAUUCAUAAAUCCGGUCUACUAUUUAAUUUUUACAAGGUUGACCUCGGAUCAGGUAGGGAUACCCGCUGA